AGCGAACGCUGGCGGUAGGCCUAACACAUGCAAGUCGAACGGCAGCACCGUAAGAGCUUGCUCUUACGGGUGGCGCGUGGCGGACGGGUGCGGACUACAUCGGAAUCUACUUUUUCGCGGGGGCUAACGUAGGGAACCUUACGCUAAUACCGCAUACGCCCUACGGGUGAAAGCAGGGGUCCUUCGGACCUUGCGCGGUUGAAUGAGCCGACGUCGGAUUAGCUAGUUGGCGGGGGAGAGGCCAACCAAAGCGACGAUGCGUAGCUGGUCUGAGAGGAAGAUCAAGCACACUGUAUGUGAGACACAGCCCAGACUCCUACAGUGGGCAGCAGUGGGGAAUAUUGGACAAGGGACGCAAGCCUAAUCCAGCCAUACCGCGUGGGUGAAGAAGGACUUCGGGUUGGUAGGCCCUUUUGUUGGUAGAGAAGAGCAGCAGGUUAAUACCCCACGGUUCUGACGGUACCCAAAGAAUAAGCACCGGCUAACUUCGUG
rnacentral:rRNA from 1 species